rnacentral:rRNA from 1 species
ACAGCAGCCGCCACGGUAAUACGGAGGAUCCGAGCGUUAUCCGGAAUUAUUGGGUUUAAAGGGUGCGUAGGCGGAUAGAUAAGUCAGUGGUGAAAGACGGUGGCUCAACCAUCGCAGUGCCGUUGAUACUGUUUAUCUUGAAUAUGGAUGAGGUAGGCGGAAUGUGGCAAGUAGCGGUGAAAUGCAUGGAUAUGCCACAGAACACCGAUUGCGAAGGCAGCUUACCAAGGCAAAAUUGACGCUGAGGCACGAAAGCGUGGGGAUCGAACAGGAUUAGAUACCCCCGUAGUCCCUGUCUCUUAUAC